GGGCAGCACAGUCUAAUGGUGGGAUGUUGGACUCCCAGCCCAAAGGGUCCAGGUUCAAUUCCCCGCAGUCUACCCG